UGCAUAAACAUGCCAUCACUGUACAUUUUGGAUUGUAGUUAGCAUAUAGUAGUUAGUGCAUUGAAUGUAGACUAUAUACGCAUUACAUUGCACCGUGUGAUUACACCUUACUGCGCAGUAAUAUAUCCGCGAGGGGUCAGUUUAUUCUUUCGCGCACGCGGUUUAAGUCGAGUCGAGUUGAUCUUAUCGUGUCGUAGCAUGCAUCGUGAGGAUCGUGAGCUGUUAGCGUAGCGUGGUCGCGUAGUCACCGGUUGACCGUGUACGUUUUUCGCGACGCGGCGCCAUAUUUCUUGUGAAUAUUAUUUGAUUUCCAUCGAUCGUAAUUAAUAAUAAGUUAUAGUGACCAGGGCGUUUUAAUGGUAUCGUGUACUCAUGAUCCACCAGCUUGUGGCUGCUGCCAACCACAUGGGACAUCAGAUACAGUUCACCAUCGACGCAUUGUUACAGCAUUCGUUGUGCCUGGCGGUCUGAUAAGCUGUACACUGUAUUUGCCGUGCCUUGGAGUACGAUGUGAUCUGUAUUGUACUUUUUUUGAUUACCUGAUGCACUGGUAAGUUUGUAUAAGUUAUAACAUCAUAAUUACAUAUUUAUCUUAAAUCACAUGUGACGUGUGUACCGUAAUUACACAAAAUUGAUGCGUGCCGUCGGAUGCGACUUCGAUCUACCCGCAGAGUAUGGUCAUGUCAAUCAUCAGUUUAAUAACGUGAAUUUUUAAUUGCUCGCAUUUUCUUUUUAUUUCAUAAUUCUGCAUGUUCGUUGACGUAUUUUCUUAGUUUGGCAAUUAAUUAUUGCGAGUAAUAUAUUCUUUAAAGACGCAAAGAUAAUUUCGAGAUUGAGAUAAAAUUCAUAUUGAUGUUUUAUUUAUUAUAUAGCUUCCCUACCUUUCCAUUGCUUGACUCGUAUUCUGAAAGAAAUAGGUAUUAGUUUAAAUUUUCUUGGAUUUUUCUUCUAGCUCUUUAUUCUUAAAUUAAAAUGUAAUUGUAUUUUCGUUAUGUCACCCUCUCUAAUCGUGAAUUUAAUUCCAAGCAUGGAAAAUGUUGAAUUUUCUUAUUAAAGGUAGCGAUUUUCUUCUUGUAUCACCUUAUGUAUUACUGUUCCUUGCUUUCUAAUGUAAAAGUGACAAUUUGUCGUAUCCGGGUCAUUUUCUACUUAAACUUUGUAUUUUAUUUUUAAAUUUAGGAAUAUCCUGUUUGUAUCACCCAGUAUGUUUGUUUUUCUUGAUUUCCUAUUAUAAGUUUUCUAAAUUUGUUAUUCCAGUUGUUGUUUCCUUCUUUGAACAAUUUAUUUUCUUUUUGUAACACUCUGUAUAUUCGUUUUUCUUUGUUGUAUAUAUAUAUAUAUAUAUUUUAUGACCAUAUUUGUAGUUUUUCAAUUUUUUUUUGUAACACGCUGUAUACAAGUUUUUCCAAAAGUACGCAGGAAAUCGCCUAUAUUUGUGAGUUUUGAGUGUUCUUUGUUUUCAACAUGGGAUUUUCUUUCUGGAACACCUUGUAUAUUUGAUUUUCUUUGUGUCGGUGAAAAUUUUGCUUCCGCUGUUUUAAGGCGGUCUUUUUUGCACUUCGAAUUUGCAUUUUGUAUCACCCUGUUUAUUAGUUUUCCGGAGCAUCGGUUGAAAACUAGCAAUAUUUGUAGUGUUUAAAUGCUUUCGUCUUUGAACGUUGAAUUUUAUAUUUGUGACACCCUGUAUAAUCGUUUUCCUUCACAUCCUUGAUAAUUUAACUUUGACUUUUAUUAGAUUUUAGCUUCUGUCACUUUGAAUUUUCUUUCUGGAACACCCUGUAUAUUAGUUUUCCUGACCAUCGAGUGCAAACGAGCGGCGUUUGUAGUGUUGAAAGUUUUUUCUUUGCACUUUAAAUUUUCCUUUUGUAACACUCUGUAUAUUUGUUUUCAUUUUCAAUCACAUAGAAAAUUUAGCGAUUUUCUAAUUUCAUUAUCCCGGUAGUACUUUGCGAAGUGUAACUUGCUUGCAUGUGCGCGGCUAUGCAGGUCGUAAGUCCUGUUUCAAUAUGGCGACAUGUACUCUGUUGACUUGUAAAAUAUAAACUUGUAUUCUAUUGUUAAUAAAGAAAUAGUAAAAUAUA